CGUCUGGGUCCCGCGCAAUGGGAUUCCGUGAACCCUGUCAGGUCCGGAAGGAAGCAGCAGUAAGCGGAUGCUCCCAUGUGCCGCGGGGACGCCUGGGCUGAGC
rnacentral:SRP_RNA from 21 species